GAUCUGGUGGCCGAGCGGUCUAAGGCGUCAGAUUAAGGCUCUGAUCUCUUCGGGGGCGCGAGUUCGAAUCUCGUCCAGAUCA
rfam:Monosiga brevicollis MX1 MONBRscaffold_18 genomic scaffold, whole genome shotgun sequence.